GGAGGCGGAGGUUGCAGUGAGCCAAGAUUGUACCACUGCACUCCAGCUUGGGUGACAGAGCGAGACUCCAUCUCAAAAAAGAAAAAAAAAAUCAACAAUGAAAUAUCAUUACACACUUAUCAGAACAGUUUAUCAGAACAGUUAAAAACAAAUAGUGGCAUCACCAAAUGCUGUUGAGGAUGUAAGGAAAUUGCUCUCAUGCAUUGCUAGUGGAAAUGUAACAUGGUACAACCACUCUGAAAAGAGUUUUACAGUUUCUUAUGAAACUAAACAUUCUACUGUUGUAUGACCUAGCAAUUGCACUCUUGAUGUAUUUUCCUAGAGAAAUGAAAGGUUUACACAAAAAAUUAGACACAAAUGUUUAUAACAGCUUUAUUUGUAAGAGCCACAAACUGGAACAAUAGCCACAAGUAGAAACAACCCUUGAUGUCCUUUGGUGCUUGAAUGGUUAAGUAAACCAUUGUAUAUCCAUAUGAUGGAGUACUAUUCAGCCGUAAAAGUAAAUGACCCAUUGAUACAGCACCUUGGAUGAUUCUUGAGAAAAUUAUGCUAAGUGAGAAAAGCCAAUCCCAGAAGGUUACAAAAGGUAACAAAGUGUUAUAUAAAUUGUUCAACUUGUUACGUAUGUGAUUCUACUCAUAAAACACUCUUAAAAUGACAAAAUUAUAGAAAUGGAGGACAGAUUAGUGGCUCUCAGGGGUGAGGGAUUAGGCAGAGGGAUGGUGAGGGGAGGACAGAUGUGGCUAUAAAAGGGCAUUAUGAGAGAACUUUGUGCUGAUGGGAACACUCCUUACCUUGACAGUAUCAGUGUCAAUGUCCUGCUUGGGAUAUUAUACUAUGGUUUUACAAGAUCUUCCCACUGGGGGAAACUGGGUAAAGGGUACAGAGGAUCCCUCUGUAUUAUUUCUUGAAAUUGCAUAUUAGUUAACAAUUAUCUCAAAAGUUUAGUUUUGAAAAUCAUAAUGUAUGUCCCUUUCAUUUUACUGAAAUAAAUAUUCAGAGCACUUAAUAACACAUUUUAUAGUCCAGCUCAUCUCUAUGGGAUGGUCACCCAUGAUAAUAAGAAAAGAACCUUUGAAAGUUGUAUUUUCAGAAGCAAAAAUACCGACAAUACUAGGUUAUUUACCUAGUCUCACUUGGAUUUUAAUGAGCUUGAAAAAUGCACCUGUUGUAUUAGAUGUAAUUUUUCCUUCUUUUUUUUUUCCAGCCUUUUUCUCAUUGUUCUCGUCAUAUCAGACAUUAUGGCUUUGCAUUUUUUCUUCUUGGUCAAGGAUUAUGGCAGCUGGCUUGAUAUUGGGACAAGCAUCAGCCACUAUGUGAUUGUCAUGUCCAUGACCAUCUUUUUGGUGUUCCUCAAUGGCCUGGCCCAGCUGCUCACAACGAAGAAACUCAGACUAUGUGGCAAACCCAAAAGUCACUUCAUGUGAGGUUGCUGAAGCACCAUUCAGCAUCUGGAUCCUGAUUCUGCUUUUAAACUAAAAUCUCAUCAAGGAUUCCAUAAGAAGAUGAAUAUGGAUAUAUAGUAUAUUCUACUCCUGUAAGGAAAAUGGUAUUUGGAAUUCCGAAUUGACAGGUUAUCUGGAACAAAGGAGCUUCUUUUCUUUUUUUUUCUAGGUUUUGCAGGCAUGAAAUAGUGAUUAUAUCUGUGGAAAAACAUAGGAAGGCAUUCUUCUUUUUCAUUUUUUUCCUUUGGCUGGCAGCUCUUUCCAGUGAUGUUGAGAGCACCUGCAGCAAUCUGGUCCCCAACCGCACAACUUCCCACAUACCCAGAGGAGAGCAUAUGCCUGUGGGGGCAGUGCUGAUGGCAUCCAGAGUCAUUGCUGUGGCUGAGCUGGAAGGAAAUCACCAGGUGCCACCGUCAAUAUUUAUCAGCUUUCAGCACUGGUUUUGUUAGACAGUCAGGGUGUAUUAUUUCAAAAGCUUCAAUAGAAAAAGUGUUUGCAGGCAUUUGUCAUAUUUCUUUAGUAUGCAAUAAUACUAUCUUGUCCUUUUUAGUGCUAUUUCUCAGGUUUUCUCAGUCAGCCAGCUAGAUGCAUGUGAUGCAUGUCUAUCCUUCACUUUUUUUUUUCAUUUCUGGAUUUUCAUGGAAUUUCUGACAAUACAAAAGUAGAAAGUGCUUGGUAUUUCUGUCUUAUACAUAGGAAAACAUUUAAAAUAAAUAGUUUUUAAUUGUAGGCUCAACAUCUGUUACCCCAUAGCUUUUUCAUGUAUUGUUUCUUUCCCUUUGAAUUUCCUUUUACUGUCAUCUAUUAUUUUAACAGGAGUUUAAAAAUCAAUGGUUAAACUUUCUGACAAUGUCAUAAGAAUUCAUAUUAAAGGUGUUAUUCUUUCUGGUUGUGAGAUUCUAGCCUAAAGGCCUAAAAUCAUCAAAUUAGAUUUCCAUUUGUAAACAAAUUCUAAUGGGCAAAAUAUCUUGAGAGCAGUUUUUAUAUAGAUUGUCCAUAAAAUGACCUUUACAUAUCCCUGCAGAGUUGGCCUUUUGCCCAUGGUGUGCUAGUAGCUUUGGCUGAUGCUAAGCUUUCCUGGUAUGUGCCCUAUUUUUAAGAAGUAAUUGCUUUUGAAUUAAGUUAUAGCAUUACUAAUUCAUGUUAAUGACUAGGAAACCCUCUGUAAUUUACAAGAUUUUUCAAGUUGGUGGGGAGUGAAUAAAUACAAUUUAAAAGAGUCAGAAAUCGGUUUGGCAAAGUGUACUUUCUUAAUUUCUAUUUAUGAUGAAGUAUAGUCAUAAUUUAUUUGUAAUACUACUUUAUGGUAUACCAGUGAAAGAAUUAUAGUAUAAAAAAGAGGUAUUAAUGUUUUAUGAAAUCUCAUGCAUCAGUUCAUAGCAUAAAAUCUAGCUGGACAACUAAGAAGCUAUGGUAGCAAACAGUGAUGUUGAUGGGAUGAGAAUCAUGAACUUUGAUAUUACCUCAAAGGAUUUUUUUAUCAGUUUUUUUUUCACACGUCACAGAAAACUGACUGUAUAAACACUUAUCAUUGA
rnacentral:sRNA from 1 species